AGUGAACGCUGGCGGUAGGCCUAACACAUGCAAGUCGAACGGCAGCACAGUAAGAGCUUGCUCUUACGGGUGGCGAGUGGCGGACGGGUGAGGAAUACAUCGGAAUCUACUUUUUCGUGGGGGAUAACGUAGGGAAACUUACGCUAAUACCGCAUACGACCUACGGGUGAAAGCAGUGGAUCUUCGGACCUUGCGCGAUUGAAUGAGCCGAUGUCGGAUUAGCUAGUUGGCGGGGUAAAGGCCCACCAAGGCGACGAUCCGUAGCUGGUCUGAGAGGAUGAUCAGCCACACUGGAACUGAGACACGGUCCAGACUCCUACGGGAGGCAGCAGUGGGGAAUAUUGGACAAUGGGCGCAAGCAUGAUCCAGCCAUACCGCGUGGGUGAAGAAGGCCUUCGGGUUGUAAAGCCCUUUUGUUGGGAAAGAAAAGCAGCAGGUUAAUACCCCGCUGUUCUGACGGUAACCAAAGAAUAAGCACCGGCUAACUUCGUG
rnacentral:rRNA from 1 species